AGUUCAUUCUUCAAUCUUCUCUAAUACUCUAAUAUGGUAUCAGAGCAUAAUUGAGCUACAAUCUUUUUUUUUUACUCUCUAAAAUCACCUCCUUGUAAUUUUGAUCUACAAUGGAGCAAAAUCAAUAAGAGAAUGGUUCUGAUUCAAGGUCGGUUGUCAACAAACCUGCCAUUGAUGAACCUUCCAAUCCAUAUUUCUUACACCACUCCGAUAGCCCUGGGUUGGUAUUAGUAUCUCAGUAGCUCACGGGAGAAAAUUAUGCUUCCUGGAGCCGUGCAAUGACCAUUGCUUUGACAGUUAAAAAUAAACUCUCAUUCAUCGAUGGAUCCAUGAAGAAAUCGGAUGCUUCUGAUCCAGAUCUGGUAAACUCAUGGAUUAGGAACAAUAAUAUGGUGAUAUCAUGGAUCCUUAAUUCCAUUUCGAAGGACAUAUCAGCCAGCGUGAUCUAUGCCUCCAUAGCUCAUGAGAUCUGGAAUGAUCUUAAGGGAACGAUUUCAACAAAGUAAGGGACCUCGAAUUUUCCAAUUAACGAGAGAACUAAUGAAUCUGAUGCAAGAUCAAAGCACUGCAAGUAUAUUCUUCACUAAAUUCAAGACUAUAUGGGAAGAAUUGAGUAAUUUUCGACCUAAUUGUAGCUGUGGAAAAUGUGAUUGUGGAGGUGCUCAAGAGUUAAAUAAAUACUAUCAGAUUGAAUAUGUCAUGGCGUUCCUCAUGGGAUUACAUGAUUCUUUUUCACAAAUUAGAGGUCAAAUUCUUCUCAUGGAUCCUCUGCCUCCAGUUAACAAAGUCUUUGCAUUGGUAUCAGAAGAGGAAAAUCAAAGGAAAAUACGCACACUUUCAAUUGGUGCUGAUUCCAAUGGAGGAGCUGCCUUUGCAUUCAAAGCUGAUAAUGGCAGAGGAACACAAAAUUCUGGUUCCGAUAAUUCUGGUUCCUAUAAUGACGGUGCAAGAGUCAACAAUAAGAAGAAGGAGAGAUCAUAUUGCACACAUUGCAAAUAUCAUGGGCGCUCCAUUGAUAAAUGCUAUAAGAUUCAUGGUUUUUCCCCUAGUUUUAAAUCAAAGCCAAGAGACAAUUUCCAAAAUUUUUCUAUAUCUAAUGCUGUUAAUCAAAUUUCUGUCAAUUUACAGAUUGAGGAAAAGCCAAUACAUCAACAGGUUGCCCUUGAGAAAUUAAUGCAGAAUUUGAAUCCCAAUCAAUACCAACACUUGAUGAUGAUGUUGUCAACUCAUCUGGCCUCCAACUCACAAUCUAUUCCAAAUGAUCUGGACAAGAAUGAUUCCACAUAUACUGCAGGUAUAUAUCAGUCUGCCGUUAUUCCAACCUUCUCUUGCAAAAAUAUUUGGAUUGUGGACUCUGGGGCUUCGAGGCACGUAUGCUCUAUUGCUGCAGCAUUCAUAAAAUUGAGACCUAUUACUAAUUCACACAUCACUUUGCCUAAUCACACACAAAUAUCUGUCAGUCUAUGUGGUGAUGUCAGAUUAGGACCCAAUUUGAUGCUACGUGAUGUGCUUUUUGUUCCACAAUUCAAGUUCAAUCUACUGUCAGUGAGUUCUUUAACUGCUGGAACAAAUCUUAGUUUGAAUUUCUUCCAUGAUCAGUUCAUCAUCCAGGAAGCUUUGACUAGGAAGAUGAUUGGCAAGGAAAGCAUUAUUCAAGGCCUAUAUAUACUAGACGCCAAAGAUUUUAAUUCUGUUUCUGAUGCAUUUAUUGGUUCUGUUUCUGCCCGUGUGUGACACAAUAGACUUGGGCAUCUAUCUUUCAAAAGGCUAGAUGUAUUAAAAGAUCACUUGAUGUAUGAUACUAGAAUAUUGAAUAAGCAUUUACCUUGUUACAUAUGUCCCCUAGCUAAACAAAGGAGAUUAUCCUUUGAAUCACACAAUCAUCUUUCGAAUCAGCCCUUUAAUCUCAUACAUUGUGAUAUAUGGGGCCCCUAUCAUGUGACAUCUCACUUUGGUUAUAGAUAUUUUAUGACUCUAGUAGAUGAUCACUCUAGAUUCACGUGGCUUUACAUGUUAAGACAAAAAUUUGAUACUGUAGGAGCUGUACACAGAUUCUUCAACUUGGUUGCCACACAAUUUCAUGCUGUCAUUAAAUCCUUUAGAUCAGAUAAUGCCGGUGAGUUAUCAUUCAAAGAUUUCUUUGCCAAAAGGGGAG
rnacentral:lncRNA from 1 species